rnacentral:rRNA from 1 species
CCUACGGGUGGCAGCAGUGGGGAAUAUUGGACAAUGGGCGAAAGCCUGAUCCAGCCAUGCCGCGUGUGUGAAGAAGGCCUUCGGGUUGUAAAGCACUUUCAGUGGGGAAGAAAGCCUUGGGGCUAAUACCCUCGAGGAAGGACAUCACCCACAGAAGAAGCACCGGCUAACUCCGUGCCAGCAGCCGCGGUAAUACGGAGGGUGCGAGCGUUAAUCGGAAUUACUGGGCGUAAAGCGCGCGUAGGCGGUCUGUUAAGCCGGUUGUGAAAGCCCCGGGCUCAACCUGGGAACGGCAUCCGGAACUGUCAGGCUAGAGUGCAGGAGAGGAAGGUAGAAUUCCCGGUGUAGCGGUGAAAUGCGUAUAGAUCGGGAGGAAUACCAGUGGCGAAGGCGGCCUUCUGGACUGACACUGACGCUGAGGUGCGAAAGCGUGGGUAGCAAACAGGAUUAGAUACCCUGGUAGUC